CCUCACUCUUCCGGUCUUCCCCCCGGAUCCCCUUUCUUGUCAAACUCGCCGGGGACGCCGCCGCUUGCCGUUGCAACGCCAGCCAUUGGCACCGGCGGGAUCCGCCAGCCGUCGGUCCGGAUCGACGCUCACGCCUCCGGCUCCGACAUGCACGCCCGUUGAACGCCGUCGUGAACCACCUCGCUUCUCUGGUACGUCUUGAACCAAGGUCGCCUUUCUCGGUUCCGUCGGCCGCUGUUGCGACGCCGCCGCGGUCAUCCUCCUCCCCGAGCAGCUCUAGGGGCCGUGACGGGCUCCGCGUCGUCGCGUCUCCUCUGGACCACGAACUUGAAGCCGUGGGUCCCUCCUACUUCUUCCUCGACCGCUGACCGCCAUUGACGCCGUCCGAAACUUGCUGCCGUCCGUCCUCUCGCCUCCCUGCUCCGUCCGACCCUGCCAGGAACAGCAAGCUUAAACAGGUGCAUCUUUGACCAAGUAUAGGACGGGCAAAUGUCGCGGAAGGAAUACUGAUGGUUUUUGAAGACUGACUAUGCUCCCUCGAGUACUGCGCAGCAACAAACUCAGAUGAAGUUAACGAAGGAGAAAAGGAAAGAGAACACUCAUCCAUACAUGAAAAACUGGAUAUGGAGCUGCAAGAUCUGAAAAAAGGAUUUCAGCAAAAGGAGGUUCAACUUGAGGUGUAGGUGUUGCCAUUCUCUCGUAGCGGAGCGAAGAGCACAACCCUGACUGCACAACCCCUUCAAGGAUCACUGGUGAAUUUGUUCAAGUUUAUUUAUCUUCUGGGUCAUGUUCAUUUUUUAUCACAGUAGGAUUCCGAGCCUGAGGGUAUCGUGAGUGUGAGCAUUUAUAAUGGAGUUGCACAAUUAUCUAUCUUCAGAAGUGGAAAUAUUAGUUAUGUGGUCAUGAAAAUAACUAAUGAUACCCAUGUUUUAGAAUAAAUCAUGACGACAAAUAUAUUACCUUGAAAUUUGAGUAUGAGUCGCCUCAAAUACCUAUCUCAACACACUCAUGACCAAGUGUGGCGUACACAUUGCGAAUUACAUGAUGUUUUGUUCAAUACUCUAUGUCAGCAAAUUAUAUGAUGUAUUGAUCACUAUCCCGAUGUCAAAGUUUGUUCUCUAUGUCUCAGCUUGUAUUGGGCACCAAAUACAGAUUGGGGGAAUAAGUUGUUUGCAUUGGGUGUACUUGCUGGAAAGACAUCUGAACUUGCCUAUUCAUCCUUGAUUAUGAAACAUAUUAAUUCCCAGAAUUUAAUGGGCGUAUUCUUCAUUGAAAUUUAUGAUUUUCAGGUAGCUGGUACAUAGCUUAAAAUCCUGCAUCGCUUAAGUAUCUUUGUAAUGUAGGUAAUUUGCUCAGACAUCAUGAAUGCAUGAAUGCAUUUUGUUUUUGUAGGAACCAGCUGAGGAUGGUAAACCUAGGGAACUGUGAAGAUGGUGGCAGGAGGAUGUACCUGCGGCGUCCGGAGAUGGGUGCAGCAACAGCCGGCCUGCGGAGGUGGCUGGUUCUGGCGGCCCUGUCGAGCAACACCAUGAGACGGGAGCAGAGGUGCUGGUUCCGGCGGCAGCAGAGGCUGCAGCAUGAGACGGGAGCAGAGGUUGCUGGUUCCGGCGGCAGCGGAGGCUGCAGCUCGCACAUCUGCUGUGAGAGCGAUGUGGCCGGACUGGUUCCGGCGGAUGUGGCCGGACGGCGACUAUACGUCCAGCGAGAGGAGGAACUGGCGUUUCUGGCGACGUGCGUUCAAGGCUCGAUGGAGCUCUCACACUUGUUUUUCUGUUUGGUUUGGCUCGAACGUUUUUUUCUUUGGUUUGGGCAUGUACGUCUUUUUUGGUCAAUGCAUGUAGUGGACGUGGUUCGUGGAUUGAGUCGCAACUGUUUCUCUUCGGCUGGUGCGUGAUCGUGGGCUGAGUUGGCGAUG